CAGUCGCCACGGUAAUACGUAGGUCCCGAGCGUUGUCCGGAUUUAUUGGGCGUAAAGCGAGCGCAGGCGGUUAGAUAAGUCUGAAGUUAAAGGCUGUGGCUUAACCAUAGUACGCUUUGGAAACUGUUUAACUUGAGUGCAAGAGGGGAGAGUGGAAUUCCAUGUGUAGCGGUGAAAUGCGUAGAUAUAUGGAGGAACACCGGUGGCGAAAGCGGCUCUCUGGCUUGUAACUGACGCUGAGGCUCGAAAGCGUGGGGAGCAAACAGGAUUAGAUACCCGCGUAGUCCCUGUCUCUUAUACA
rnacentral:rRNA from 1 species